rnacentral:lncRNA from 1 species
CCCUGUCCACAGGAAGUGAGUGAACUCCAGAGGCUGUUCUCUACCUCGCUUCCUGCGCCUUACAUGUGCCAAUGGUGGCUCAAGCUUGGCUUUGGACAGUCCAGGACACAGGCCAGUCUUCAUCUGAAACCUUCAGUUGAUUCAAUUGACUUUGCAAGACAGAUCAUCUAUAAACCCUCAGCCAAUGGAACAAUGAGCAAUCCAGUAAGAUGUCACCAGCAACAGCAGAAAUCCACUUGCUCUGUACCAGCAGCAGUAGAAACAGGAAGAAGAUCAGGACAGUCAGAGAGAGAGCACUGA